rnacentral:rRNA from 1 species
CCUACGGGAGGCUGCAGUGGGGAAUCUUGCACAAUGGAGGAAACUCUGAUGCAGCGACGCCGCGUGAGCGAAGAAGCCUUUCGGGGUGUAAAGCUCUUACGCCAGGGACGAUAAUGACGGUACCUGGAGAAGCAGCUGCGGCUAACUACGUGCCAGCAGCCGCGGUAAUACGUAGGCAGCAAGCGUUGUUCGGAAUUACUGGGCGUAAAGGGUGCGUAGGCGGCGCUCUAAGUUUGGUGUGAAAUCUCCCGGCUUAACUGGGAGGGUGCACUGAAGACUGGGGCGCUGGAGUAUGGGAGAGGAAAGCGGAAUUCCUGGUGUAGCGGUGAAAUGCGUAGAGAUCAGGAGGAACACCUGCGGUGUAGACGGCUUUCUGGACCAUCACUGACGCUGAGGCACGAAAGCGUGGGUAGCAAACAGGAUUAGAUACCCGGGUAGUC